CGCCCGCCGCGCGCGGCGGGCGGGGCGGGGGCACGGGGGGGCCUACGGGAGGCAGCAGUGGGGAAUAUUGGACAAUGGGCGCAAGCCUGAUCCAGCAAUGCCGCGUGUGUGAAGAAGGCCUGCGGGUUGUAAAGCACUUUUGUUCGGGAAGAAAUCAUGCUGGUUAAUACCUCGGGAGGAUGACGGUACCUGAAGAAUAAGCACCGGCUAACUACGUGCCAGCAGCCGCGGUAAUA
rnacentral:rRNA from 1 species